rnacentral:rRNA from 1 species
AAUAGCUCACUGGUCAAGUGGUUCUGCGCCGACAAUGUAGCGGGGCUCAAGCGUACCGCCGAAGCUGUGGCAACAACAUGUGAUGCUGGCGCCAGGAACUGGAGUGCUGGUGUGUUGUUGGGUAGGGGAGCGUCCUGCACGAGGUGAAGCCUGGAGGGGACUUCUGGUGGAUUGUGUGGGAGUGAGAAUGCAGGCAUGAGUAACGAUUCUGCGGUGAGAAUCCGCAGCGCCGAUUGACUAAGGGUUCCAGGGCUAGGUUUAUCCGCCCUGGGUUAGUCGGGUCCUAAGGCGAGGCCGACAGGCGUAGUCGAUGGACAACCAGUUGAUAUUCUGGUACCGCGUUGUGACCGUCCAUGCUGACGUCAUUGUGCUAACCAAUCUGCCCGCGCCCCGCCUCCGCUUUCGGGUGGUGGUGGUGUGUGUGGGUCUUGGGGUCCCGGUGAUGGUAGGCAAGCGUGUUAACAGGGGUGACGCAGACAGGUAGCUGCAGUGCGCCGAUGGUUGUGCGUAUUUAAGGUUGUGGCCCGUCCCUCAGGUAAAUCCGGGGGACAUUGGGGGUGAGAACUGAUGAGGGACACACGCGUGUGUGGACUUGUGGUGAUCCUAUGCUGCCGAGAAAAGCCUCGACGUGAGGGCAUGACGCGCCCGUACCCUAAACCGACUCAGGUGGUCAGGUAGAGUAUACCGAGGCGUUCGAGUGAAUCAUGGUUAAGGAACUCGGCAAAAUUCCUCCGUAACUUCGGGAUAAGGAGGACCCCUUGGCCUGCCCCCGCCGCGCGCGGGGGCGGGGCCGGGGGGUCGCAGAGAAUAGGGAGAAGCGACUGUUUAUCAAAAACACAGGUGCGUGCGAAGCCGUAAGGCGAUGUAUACGCACUGACGCCUGCCCGGUGCUGGAAGGUUAAGAGGAACUGUUAACACCCCCCUGGGGUGUGAAGCGGUGAAUUUAAGCCCCAGUAAACGGCGGUGGUAACUAUAACCAUCCUAAGGUAGCGAAAUUCCUUGUCGGGUAAGUUCCGACCUGCACGAAUGGCGUAACGACUUCUCCGCUGUCUCAACCAUGAACUCGGUGAAAUUGCAGUACGAGUAAAGAUGCUCGUUUCGCGCAGAAGGACGGAAAGACCCCGGGACCUUUACUAUAGCUUGGUAUUGGUGUUCGCUUGGACUUGUGUAGGAUAGGUGGGAGACUGUGAAGCUGCCGCGCCAGCGGUGGUGGAGUCGUCGUUGAAAUACCAUUCUGGUUCAAGCGGUCACCUCAACCUUGGCCCGUGAUCCGGGUUGGGGACAGUGCCUGGUGGGUAGUUUAACUGGGGCGGUUGCCUCCUAAAAUGUAACGGAGGCGCUCAAAGGUUCCCUCAGCCUGGUUGGUAAUCAGGUGGCGAGUGCAAGUGUACAAGGGAGCUUGACUGUGAGACCGACGGGUCGAGCAGGUGCGAAAGCAGGAACUAGUGAUCCGGCCAUGGCACGUGGGUGCGUGGUCGCUCAACGGAUAAAAGGUACCCCGGGGAUAACAGGCUGAUCUUGCCCAAGAGUCCAUAUCGACGGCAUGGUUUGGCACCUCGAUGUCGGCUCGUCGCAUCCUGGGGCUGGAGUUGGUCCCAAGGGUUGGGCUGUUCGCCCAUUAAAGCGGUACGCGAGCUGGGUUCAGAACGUCGUGAGACAGUUCGGUCCCUAUCCUCUGCGCGCGCAGGAAACUUGAUGGAGGGCCGUCCCCAGUACGAGAGGACCGGGAUGGACGAACCUCUGGUGUGCCAGUUGUACCGCCAGGUGCACGGCUGGUUGGCCACGUUCGGAAAGGAUAACCGCUGAAAGCAUCUAAGCGGGAAGCCCGCUCCGAGAUGAGGUUU